rnacentral:rRNA from 1 species
GAUGAACGCUGGCGGCGUGCCUAAUACAUGCAAGUCGAGCGAACAGACGAGGAGCUUGCUCCUCUGACGUUAGCGACGGACGGGUGAGUAACACGUGGAUAACCUACCUAUAAGACUGGGAUAACUUCGGGAAACCGGAGCUAAUACCGGGUAAUAUAUUGAACCGCAUGGUUCAAUAGUGAAAGACGGGUUUGCUGUCACUUAUAGAUGGAUCCGCGCCGCAUUAGCUAGUUGGUAAGGUAACGGCUUACCAAGGCAACGAUGCGUAGCCGACCUGAGAGGGUGAUCGGCCACACUGGAACUGAGACACGGUCCAGACUCCUACGGGAGGCAGCAGUAGGGAAUCUUCCGCAGUAGGCGAAAGCCUGACGGAGCAACGCCGCGUGAGUGAUGAAGGUCUUCGGAUCGUAAAACUCUGUUAUUAGGGAAGAACACAUGUGUAAGUAACUAUGCACGUCUUGACGGUACCUAAUUAGAAAGCCACGGCUAACUACGUG